rnacentral:rRNA from 1 species
AAAAAUUUAAGGUCUGACCUGCUCACUGAAUUGUUUUAAAGAGCCGCGGUAUUUUGACCGUGCAAAGGUAGCAUAAUCAUUAGUCCUUUAAUUAGGGGCUGGUAUGAAUGGUUUGACAAGGAAUUUUCUGUCUCUUAAUGAUUUAUAUAAUUUAUCUUUUAAGUUAAAAGACUUAAAUUUUUCUUUAGGACGAGAAGACCCUAUAGAGUUUAAUAUUUUAUUUAUUUUUAAUUUUCUGAUAGUUUAUUUAUUUUUAAUGAUAAUAUUUUGUUGGGGUGAUAUGAAGAAUAAAUAAACUCUUCAUUAUAAAAUCAUUAAUUUAUGUUUAUUUGAUCCAUAUUUUAUGAUCAUAAGAUUAAAUUACCUUAGGGAUAACAGCGUAAUUAUUUUUGAGAGCUCAUAUCGACAAAAUAGAUUGCGACCUCGAUGUUGGAUUAAGAAAAAUUCUAGAUGUAGAAGUUUGGAGAUUAGGUCUGUUCGACCUUU